GGCGUAUUCCAUUAAUUCGCUUUCUUAUUCUGUUCGCGUAACCUGUUGUUUUCCUCCCCAGUCGGCGCAUGGCGCAGCGCUCUCCUCUGUGCCUGCGCCGCCUCAAAUCAAAUGAAAUCGGGCCUCCUCCGCACUUCCCCAGUCCAAUUUUUUUCGCUCGGGAGUACCGAGCUUGUUGGGUCCUUAACAAGGGCGGGCGUGCAUUUCCCGAGGCACCAUUCAUCUGUGGAAUCCUAUGUCUUUGCAAGCUCCCAAGGGCAAGAGAUUGUCGUUGCUUUAGGGAGCAACGUGGAUGAUACACAAUCAGUACAGCACCUGAUCAACCACUGUUCAUAUAUUCUGUUGUAAGAUGGACAACCAAGCUUGGACGACAUGAUUACGAUUUAUGCCAAACUGAUGAAGAUAUAGUCCCAGACCAGUUGAUCUGGAUGUGAUAUUUUAUGAUAAGCAUCAAACGAACGGAAAUAUGAGAGAGCAUUUUUUUUUCUAGCUCCUUUUGAUGGAUCUUCUAGGAUCUCUUGAUCCUUGGAUCAAUGCAAAGUUGGCAUUCUCUCAAUAUGCUGAAAUGUGCACUUUAAACUGUGGAAGAACCUUCAUGGAGAGCCUUUGUUUGAUCAUAAAAGAAGGCCUAAUAAUAGUGUUGCCUGUGGGUCAUGGCCUCAUAGACAUAAUCUGAAGCCAGAUAUCUUUAGUGACAGGUGGAAAUUCUUGAGUGGAUGCUGUUUUUCUGAGGUCAAAUUGCUAACAUCUGAACAUGCAGAUACAGUUGGCAUUGGCACUCGAUCCACGUGCCAUUUUGCAACAAGGCUCUCAGAGGAGGAAGAGCUUCAAAGGUUGAUUCCUGUGCUGGGUGCAGUCGUUAAAGAUACUUGAGAUAGAAAGAAGCUUAUCCAUGAAUACAAUUAUAUGCAGAAGUGCAGGUGAAACUGUAAAUCGAGGAGCAUAUAUAGUGAAUGAUGUAUCUCGCAGGUGCCUUAACCUCUGUUUCUCACAUUGUGUGUACAUGGCAGGGGAUCUAUUCACAUUGCAUAGGCUACAAUCUGGGUUUAUAUAGCCUCUGAGCAAUACUCAAGUGUCUUACAUGGAACUGGCAGAGAACUUUUUGAACAGAACAGUUGGAGAUCUCUUCUAUUAACAGAGAAGAAUAAGAACCCAAAAAAAACUGUACAGGAAAAAAGGAAUCAAGCAGAGCUAAACAAGAACAUCACACUAAGCUUGAAGGGAAGAUUUAACUCAAUUUUAUGGCUUAAUGGAACUGGCAGAGAUUCCUUCGUUGAGAAUAUUGUUGACCCUUCUAAAUAUUCUUAACAGAACCCUCAGCUUCUUUCUGGUGUGUCAUCCAUCAGAAGGGAGAAUUGUCAAGGGAGCAUUAUUGCUUCACAUGUACUAGUAUGUUACUUGAACCAUCCAGGAAAAAGGAUUUCAAGGUGCAACAGAAAUUGGGGAACAUACAACGCAUUUGUAUCUCUUGUACUUGUUUCACCACAUGGGAUACCAUCAUGGCAGGGUGUUACUUUGUAUAUGCCUUCUUCUGCUUGAGCAUGUACCAGCUCUUGUGCCCAGUGCACGAUUGUUCAUACAACGUGGGACUGUCGUUGUCUGUUGUUACUUAUUAGGUCUGAUCAUAGAUGGUGCGUGGAAAAAUGUGGACUGACAGAAACUCUCUUCGGCCAGUGCACUACAGAAUGGAGUUUGCAUGUCAAUUCUUGUGGGUGCAUGCAUGUGGUUGUUCUGCACUCUGCCUGUAUUUCUUGUCCACGUGGCCGGUCUGAUUUGUAUCUUACGGUCUGGUCAUUUUCAUGUAGACAUGGAACGCAGCUAAGGUAGGCACUAACUGUUAAGCUUCACUGCUUGAGCAUUUGUUGUUUUUUUCAGACCUUGAUGCAAUGUAUAAAAAUUACCCUGCAAUCUGUUAUAGCUUGUGUAUGAAUAAAGAUUUUUCAUGAAUUAUCUAACAUACUCUUUAGUGUCAGGAGUUUUUGUCGUUACCAAUUUGUUGCAGCUAGGCUACAAGUUAGGAAUUUGAGAAAUCAAAGUGCAGAAGUAUUCAUUUAUUUUAAUUUUUAUUUUGAAACGAACAGAACUACUUAUCUUUUACAACUGAAGUGAAAUGUGAUGAGCAAUUAUGGAUGCCCUGGUGAUAGGUCUUACUUAAACAGAUAGAAUCAAGUUACCAAAACUCUAUUUUAGAUUCUUUAUCGUUUUGCGUGCUCUUUAUUUGACUGUUCCAGGAAAAAAAAUUGCCCCAUGCCGAAAUCUGAAAUCUUGUAUUAUCAACAAUUUUGAGAUUGUCUAGUAGCCCAUCAGCAACAUUGUUCUGUGAGUACGUUGGAUAAUUCAGUUUCAUUUGCACCUAACCUAACAUUGUCAAUGGUGAUGCUUCUAUAUUUCAGCAACUAUUGGCAUCUUUUGAAGCAGCAAUGAAUAUUUUCUUCCAAUUAUGUUGGACCGUCGUGGGGAAGGGAGUUUGCUUUCAUCAAUGUGUUACCUAACCGGUUGAAGGAACUUGCAUUGUGAACAUGAGCUCAUUCUUGCCUUUUUAUAAGCAAUUGGAAGCCUCUAACACUGAAGCGUUUAUCUUAUAUAUCCUGAAUAAGCUGGAAGUUUGCAUAUGGAUAGUUGGGUUCUGUACCAUGUUCGAUUCAAAAGCAUAGAAGCCAAAUGAUACCACUGUUUUGAUGGAGCAAAAGAAUACAGGAGCA